rnacentral:lncRNA from 1 species
GGAUCUUUCUUGUGUAAGGUGGGAGGUUUCGGGAUCCGGACCGGAGGUGUAGAUUUAAAGAUGCUUUUUACUAAGAUCAUAUCCGUGUUGCUUUGCUAUCCAUGCUACAACAUAUGCAUAGUCUAGAUUGCUCUAGAUUGGUUACUUUUGCUCUAUCUAUUAUUUGUCUGUACAUGCUUAAGUAGAUUGGAUUUGAAUCUCUCAUAAACACCAAGUUAAUACUAACAAUGCUAGUUGAAAUAGAUCUUUUGCUUUAAAUUUCACGAAUUGAUAAACCUUGGGGGAAUACUCUGAGAGAAGAGCUAUAACUGAUCCAUACGCUUGUGGUUCACAAAUUGGCGUGUU